UACGUAGGGUGCAAGCGUUAAUCGGAAUUACUGAGCGUAAAGCGUGCGCAGGCGGUUAUGUAAGACAGUUGUGAAAUCCCCGGGCUCAACCUGGGAACUGCAUCUGUGACUGCAUAGCUAGAGUACGGUAGAGGGGGAUGGAAUUCCGCGUGUAGCAGUGAAAUGCGUAGAUAUGCGGAGGAACACCGAUGGCGAAGGCAAUCCCCUGGACCUGUACUGACGCUCAUGCACGAAAGCGUGGGGAGCAAACAGG
rnacentral:rRNA from 1 species